CCUACGGGUGGCAGCAGUGAGGAAUAUUGGUCAAUGGGCGGAAGCCUGAACCAGCCAAGCCGCGUGCAGGAAGACGGCCCUACGGGUUGUAAACUUCUUUUAUAAAGGAAUAAAGCUUGGCACGUGUGCUCUUUUGUAUGUACUUUAUGAAUAAGGAUCGGCUAACUCCGUGCCAGCAGCCGCGGUAAUACGGAGGAUCCGAGCGUUAUCCGGAUUUAUUGGGUUUAAAGGGAGCGUAGAGGGGUUGUGAAGUCAGUUGGGAAAGGUGGUGGCUUAACCGGAAAAUUGCAAUUGAUACUGUCAGUCAUGAGUACGGUUGAGGUAGGCGGAAGUCGGGGUGUAGCGGGGAAAUGCUUAGAGAUCGCGGAGAACUCCGAUUGCGAAGGCAGCUGACUA
rnacentral:rRNA from 1 species